GCUACCAGCUGACGAGAAGAGCGUCUUCUGGGGUAAAUAUUGUGCAGGCACUUAAUCGAAAUCUUCCAAAAUCAUGACACCGAGGAGAGUUAUAGCUGGUGUGCUCUUUGCCAUUAUCGCCCUGAGCCAACUUCGCCCCGGUGGCGGAGCAUGCCCUGGCACCGAAACGCAGUGCAAUGCCGGCUGCUGUCCCCUGAAGAAUGCAGUCUGUUGCUCGGACAAUCAGCACUGCUGCCUCACUGGCUACGUAUGUGACCCCCCUUACUGUAUCGGCGAAGCCGGCAGCUCACCCGUUCCGGCGGAAGACAUUGAAUAAGCUCAUAUUCGACGUGUGUUCCCUCGCCUUUCUCGGUCUGCGCUUUCCCGAUGUGAAUCCUUUGGAGGGACAU